rnacentral:rRNA from 1 species
AUUGAACGCUGGCGGCAGGCCUAACACAUGCAAGUCGAACGGGUGGCGGACGGGUGAGUCAUGUCUGGGAGACUGCCCGAUGGGGGGGGAUAACUACUGGAAACGGUAGCUCAUACCGCAUACCAACGGAUUUGCCCAGAUGGGAUUAGCUAGUGGGUGGGGUAAAGGCUCACCUAGGCGACGAUCCCUAGCUGGUCUGAGAGGAUGACCAGCCACACUGGAACUGAGACACGGUCCAGACUCCUACGGGAGGCAGCAGUGGGGAAUAUUGCACAAUGGGCGCAAGCCUGAUGCAGCCAUGCCGCGUGUAUGAAGAAGGCCUUCGGGUUGUAAAGUACUUUCAGCGGGGAGGCGUUACCCGCAGAAGAAGCACCGGCUAACUCCGUGCCAGCAGCCGCGGUAAUAC